rnacentral:ncRNA from 1 species
ACAGACUUAGUCCUAACCUUACAGUUAGUUUCCGCUAGCCAUAUACAUGCAAGUAUCCGCAUCCCAGUGAAAAUGCCCUUAACACCUUAUCAAGGUAAACAGGAGCAGGUAUCAGGCACACUUAUUCAGCCCUGUAGCCCAAAACACCUUGCUCAGCCACACCCCCACGGGUAUUCAGCAGUAAUCAACAUUAAGCAAUAAGUGAAAACUUGACUUAGCCAUAGCAAUCCCUUAAGGGUUGGUAAAUCUUGUGCCAGCCACCGCGGUCAUACAAGAAACCCAAAUUAACUUUACACGGCGUAAAGAGUGGCCUCAACAAUAUCCACCACAACUAAAAUUAAAAUGCAGCCAAGCUGUCAUAAGCCCAAGCUGCACCUAAACCUUCCACAAACAUAUUUUAGCCCAGAGAUCAACCAAAACCCACGAAAGCCAGGACACAAACUGGGAUUAGAUACCCCACUAUGCCCGGCCCUAAAUCUCGAUCCUUCCCUCACUGAAGCAUCCGCCUGAGAAUUACGAGCACAAACGCUUAAAACUCUAAGGACUUGGCGGUGCUCUAAACCCAUCUAGAGGAGCCUGUUCUAUAAUCGAUAACCCACGAUGCACCUGACCAUCCCUCGCCAAAACCAGCCUAUAUACCGCCGUCGCCAGUUCACCUCUAUUGAAAGCCAAACAGUGAACACAACAGUUCAAAUCCACUAAUAAGACAGGUCAAGGUAUAGCCCAUGGGAUGGAAGAAAUGGGCUACAUUUUCUAAGCUAGAACACACUGCAAGGGAUGUGAAACCCUCCCUAAAAGGCGGAUUUAGCAGUAAAGCGGAACAAUAGCGUCCUCUUUAAACUGGCCCUAGAGCACGUACAUACCGCCCGUCACCCUCCUCACAAGCUACUAACCCUACUAACUAAUACACCACUAAGCUAAAGAUGAGGUAAGUCGUAACAAGGUAAGUGUACCGGAAGGUGCACUUAGUCUAC